rnacentral:rRNA from 1 species
AUUGAACGCUGGCGGUAUGCUUAACACAUGCAAGUCGAACGAGUGGCGGACGGGUGAGUAAUGCCUAGGAAUCUACCUUUUAGUCUAGGAUAACUACCCGAAAGGUUGGCUAAUACUGCAUGCUAAGAGAUGAGCCUAUGUGGGGUUGGCUAGUUGGUGGGGUAAUGGCUCACCAAGGCGACGAUCUCUAGCUGGUUUGAGAGGAUGAUCAGCCACACUGGGACUAGGACACGGCCCAGACUCCUACGGAAGGCAGCAGUGGGGAUUAUUGGACAAGGGGCGAAAGCCUGAUCCAGCAAUACCGCGUGUGUGAAGAAGGCCUUCGGGUUGUAAAGUCCUUUCAGCGAGGAGGCGUUACUCGCAGAAGAAGCACCGGCUAACUCCGUGCCAGCCGCCGCGGUAAUAC